UUUAAAUUCAAUUUAAUAAUUCAGAGACAGUUAUUAUUUCAUUAAUUCAUUCAUACAAUUCUUCAAUUAAAAGACAAUUUAUUAUGCUACCUUUGUACAGUCAACAUACUGCAGCUAUUUAAAAUUAAUUCAUUGAGCAAUCCAGAUAAAUUCAAAAAAAGAAACAUCUCUUUCUUUUUCCAAGAGGAAAAAGAAAUCUACGAAUCUUAAAUCUCUCCAAGAAAAAAAAAAGUCGAUUGGAAUUCUCAAAACUCGAGCAGGAUCUCGUUUCUUUAAUAACCCCUUAAUAAAGCGAUCGACCCGUUCUCUCGAAGAAGAAUCCGCAAGGAUGUUCGCGUUAACGUAACUGUAUCACGUCUCAACGUCGUUCCACAUAACGAGAUAGAGAGAGAGAGAGAGAGAGAUGGGAAGACUGGAUACGCCUUUGCUGAUCGUUUUGUCCACCAAGCCUUCGAUUAGGUCGCAAUAGUAGGUAACCACCUACCGAGAUAUUACUCUACGCGUGAUGCACGUUUUUUGCGAGGAUCGAAAGAUAACGAACGAACGAGUUUCAACUCGUGUCUUCUGCGCCCUAUCUCUAUCUCUCUCUCUCUCUUUGAGGGGAGAGCCUCGGUCACGUCCGAUUAAUUUCGAGUUAUUCCGCGCUCGAAAGUAGCUCGAUCUCCUCUCCGAUUAAUUUCAAGAGGGGAAUAUGUGAUAUAUAUAUACAUUAUAAUAGGCAGAGUGAUAUAUCUGUCUUGUCCUGGGUGAGGAUAAUGUCACUUGCGAAGCUUCUUCCGAUUAAUUUCGAAAGAUUAUGUAUUCUGGUUUCGUUGGUUGCAGUCGUGGUUUCGCUUUUGGAAGGGUGUUAUAUCGACGAUUUCUCACGGAAGAGUCUUGAAUUUUUUUUUUUAAAUAGUUAUUAAUAAGAUAUUUCUAGAGAGGAUUGAUAUUCUGGAAAAGGAAUAAAAAGUUUAUUAUCGUUACGAGUUUCGCAGUAAUCGAGUUUAGAGGGUAAUUUCAUCGGAUAUUAUGAUUCCAAAUCUUGGUCGGAUUGCUUAUUGCUUCCAGGUUCAGGUUGGAUUAAAACUAGUAUAAUUUCUUUUUUUUUUAUUGUAAUUUGUAUCUUGAAUAAAUAUUCUUGUCUUUAAUUAUAUUUGUCGAAAUAGUCUAUUUUGUAUCUAAAUCAUUUAAUACGAAUAAUUAAUAUUUCGUAUUGAUAAGGAAUUUGUUUCCAAUAAUUGGAUCUUUAUUUGUUUAUUGUUCUACAAUCUUCGAUACCAUUGAUCGAAAUUAAAAUUCCUUCCUCUCGUAGACGAUCGAGAAAAGUUGUAUUUAUAGGUAAAAAUAAAUGAUAACUUCAUCUCAAAAAUAUAUAAUUUACCUUCCACUAAUAAAUACCUUCCUUUCUCCACCGAAAGAAAGCAAAUAAAAAUCGUUAUCCUAAUCGCCACGAGUUCCGCGUACACAUAAAUUCAUCCUUGCGCAUUAUUUGCGUAACGCAAAGCUAAUUUUAUGAUUUCUCGAUAUUACAACACUCGAAAGAUCUCCUUUUUUUCCCUAUCGUUUCAUCUUUGCAUCCAAGAAGCUUCUCGAGGGAUUAUUCUCGAAUUAUUCUCGAUAAUUACGUAAUACAUUCGCAACCCAUUUCGCCUGAUGAUGUACAAUUUAUUAUCCUCGUCGUAAAUAUGCAAUAAAUGUGUAACAGAAAAUGGACGCACGGUUAUCGGUUGUGUACGGUAAUUCGAUCAUCAUUUUCCCUUGGAUUAACAGCGAAAUUCCAGGCUAAUGCGACGCUAAAGCAAAGCUUCGUUGAUAUUAAUAAUUGCGGAUUUCUGUAUCGUAUCAACGGCCGGCUAAUGUUUCCUCUAUGGCUCACCGCCUUAGAAACCGGAAGGUUAACCAUCUUCCUCGAACUCGUCGUUGAAUAUCUCGUAAAAUUUUUCCCCGUUCAACGGAUCGAAUCGUUUCGAAGAAUGUUCCGCGCGAGGAUCAAGGUCGUUUUACACCGUGUACGCCCAUUAAAUUCAUUUAAUAAUAAUCAAGUGGAAUUUUGUGCCGAAUGAAUCUUUUAAAUUGAAAAUGAAACGUGUCUAUGAAAUUGUUUGACAGCCACUUUAUCAAUUAUGCUUCUACUUGAAUGAAAAAUUCGUAGAUAGAUCAAUUUGACUUGCAAAAUUUGUUAAAUAUUUGAAUUCUAAUUAGUUGUCUGUAAUUAACUGAAAACAAUGGAGUGGAACAAUGGUAUGUUAUUUGAAUUUGUAUUACGAGAGCAAAUUAACAAAUUCUUUGAUUUAAUUAUUUUUUAUAUGGUUAUGAUUUUUUUAAUUGGUAGUACAGAGAGUGAUCUGGUAUUUCUACUCAUACUUUCUAUUUCUAUCUACCACGAGUAUACGUAGUUUUGCAUAAUUGACGUGACAAUCAGACCAUCGUUUGAAAUCAAAAGGUUAAUUUAAGAGGUUAUGUAUAUCGACGAAAAAGAUAUUGAACAAACUUUGAUUUUAAAAAAUAUUUAUAAAUUAUAUAUAAAAAAUUGAUGGAUUAAGAGAAAAAUUUAUCACGAAAUCAAUUUCAACGUGGAAUAGAAUCAGGAAAUAUCGAACAUUUGAUUUCGUUGGCCUCGAUAAAUCGAUUAAAGUCGCUUCAAUAACGGUCACUAUCGAAUGCUGUUCGACCGGUAAAACAGUUUGUAUAAAGCGGUUGGAACACGUAACGAUCCGCGUUAAUUGAGGCAACACGAAACGACGGUCGACAUAAUGAAAUUGAAGCUGGAAACGCGAACAACGACGCAUAAAUUGCACAGGUUCGAGCGGUUGCGUAUAUAUUAUGUACUCGUGACAUUAAAAUUGCAAAUGAUAAUACAGUUCUCGUUACUGGUCAAAGAAGAUAGCUCGUUACGGUAAAUUAAAGGUAAAAAGUGAACGAGAGAAUCGAGAAAGAUGAAUUUCGCGAUUUUUUAUCGUAUCUUAUCAUAGGUAUCUUCAUAACACGCGAUUUAUAUGGCGACAUGAUAACGUAAUACUUUUUCAAUCUCACGUGUUCGACCGUCAAUCGUACUUUGCUUCGUUUCUAUUACUCGAUACAACGAAGAAAAACAAUCGAAUAAUAAUCGCGUAUACAAAUUUUGAUGACUACAGUUUACACUUACACACAUUCGACUCAUCGGUGUUUGUGCUUAUUAGCUUUUACAAUUUUAGGUUAUUAGACGUUAAAUGUGGAAUAGAUUUGGAUACAAAGGUAAAGUAGUUCGGAGAAGCAGCAUCCAAAGUACUAAUCCUUCAUCCCAAGUAUCAUGCUGAGUUUCUGAUCCUUGUCGACGAGCCCUCUGCAUGCAGCCCACAUGAGUGGUGACCAACAAGACGGAUCGCUUCUAUGUAAAAUAAAUCCGCGCCGAAGAUCGAAACGACGCUGUGGAUUUUUGUGGAAAGUGGAUCUGCAAGUUUCGAGUCGCGCAAGGUCGUCCCAGGACAACAUCUUAAAUAACGGAAUUCUAUUCUUUAUUCCGGGAUUCUAUCCCCUUAUCUUCGUGUAUACCGCAACUGGAUGGGAACUGCUGCUAUUCAUCGCCUCGAAUUAUCCACGAGAGAAACUUAUUAUA